UUUAACUGAAGAGUUUGAUCAUGGCUCAGAUUGAACGCUGGCGGCAGGCUUAACACAUGCAAGUCGAGCGGGGGAAGGUAGCUUGCUACCGGACCUAGCGGCGGACGGGUGAGUAAUGCUUAGGAAUCUGCCUAUUAGUGGGGGACAACAUCUCGAAAGGGAUGCUAAUACCGCAUACGUCCUACGGGAGAAA
rnacentral:rRNA from 1 species